AGCGAACGCUGGCGGCAUGCCUAACACAUGCAAGUCGAACGAGACCUUCGGGUCUAGUGGCGCACGGGUGCGUAACGCGCGGGAAUCUGCCCUUGGGUUCGGAAUAACGGUUAGAAAUGACUGCUAAUACCGGAUAAUGACGUAAGUCCAAAGAUUUAUCGCCCAAGGAUGAGCCCGCGUAGGAUUAGCUUGUUGGUGAGGUAAAGGCUCACCAAGGCGACGAUCCUUAGCUGGUCUGAGAGGAUGAUCAGCCACACUGGGACUGAGACACGGCCCAGACUCCUACGGGAGGCAGCAGUGGGGAAUAUUGGACAAUGGGCGAAAGCCUGAUCCAGCAAUGCCGCGUGAGUGAUGAAGGCCUUAGGGUUGUAAAGCUCUUUUACCCGGGAUGAUAAUGACAGUACCGGGAGAAUAAGCCCCGGCUAACUCCGUGCCAGCAGCCGCCGUAAAAC
rnacentral:rRNA from 1 species